ACGGGAGGCAGCAGUGGGGAAUAUUGGACAAUGGGGGAAACCCUGAUCCAGCGACGCCGCGUGAGUGAAGAAGUAUUUCGGUAUGUAAAGCUCUAUCAGCAGGGAAGAUGAUGACGGUACCUGACUAAGAAGCCCCGGCUAACUACGUGCCAGCAGCCGCGGUAAUACGUAGGGGGCAAGCGUUAUCCGGAUUUACUGGGUGUAAAGGGAGCGUAGACGGAAAGGCAAGUCUGAUGUGAAAGGCAGGGGCUCAACUCCUGGACUGCAUUGGAAACUGUUUUUCUUGAGUACCGGAGGGGUAAGCGGAAUUCCUAGUGUAGCGGUGAAAUGCGUAGAUAUUAGGAGGAACACCGGUGGCGAAGGCGGCUUACUGGACGGCAACUGACGUUGAGGCUCGAAAGCGUGGGGAGCAAACAGGAUUAGAUACCCUGGUA
rnacentral:rRNA from 1 species